rnacentral:tRNA from 1 species
GGUCUUGUAGCUCAGUGGUAGAGCACUUGCCUGGCAUGUGUAGGCCCUGGGUUCAAUCCUCAGCACCG